GACAGAGGGUGCUAGCGUUGUUCGGAAUUAUUGGGCGUAAAGGGCGCGUAGGCGGCCUCAUAAGUCAGAUGUGAAAGCCCAGGGCUCAACCCUGGAAGUGCAUCUGAUACUGUGAAGCUUGAAUCCUGGAGAGGGUGGUGGAAUUCCCGGUGUAGCGGUGAAAUGCGUAGAGAUCGGGAGGAACAUCAGUGGCGAAGGCGGCCUUCUGGACCAGUACUGACGCUGAGGCACGAAAGCGUGGGGAGCAAACAGGGAU
rnacentral:rRNA from 1 species